UGGGGAAUUUUGGACAAUGGGCGAAAGCCUGAUCCAGCAAUGCCGCGUGUGUGAAGAAGGCCUUCGGGUUGUAAAGCACUUUUGUCCGGAAAGAAAUGGCUCUGGUUAAUACCUGGGGUCGAUGACGGUACCGGAAGAAUAAGGACCGGCUAACUACGUGCCAGCAGCCGCGGUAAUACGUAGGGUCCAAGCGUUAAUCGGAAUUACUGGGCGUAAAGCGUGCGCAGGCGGUUGUGCAAGACCGAUGUGAAAUCCCCGAGCUUAACUUGGGAAUUGCAUUGGUGACUGCACGGCUAGAGUGUGUCAGAGGGGGGUAGAAUUCCACGUGUAGCAGUGAAAUGCGUAGAGAUGUGGAGGAAUACCGAUGGCGAAGGCAGCCCCCUGGGAUAACACUGACGCUCAUGCACGAAAGCGUGGGGAGCAAACAGGAUUAGAUACCCUGGUAGUCCACGCCCUAAAACGAUGUCAACUAGUUGUUGGGGAUUCAUUUCCUUAGUAACGUAGCUAACGCGUGAAGUUGACCGCCU
rnacentral:rRNA from 1 species